UGGGGAAUCUUGCGCAAUGGGCGAAAGCCUGACGCAGCGACGCCGCGUGAGGGAGGAAGGCCUUCGGGUUGUAAACCUCUUUCAGGAGGGACGAAGCUACUCGGGUGAAUAGCCCAGAGGGUGACGGUACCUCCAGAAGAAGCCCCGGCUAACUACGUGCCAGCAGCCGCGGUAAUACGUAGGGGGCAAGCGUUGUCCGGAUUUACUGGGCGUAAAGCGCGUGUAGGCGGCCACGCAGGUCCGUUGUGAAAACUAGAGGCUUAACCUCUAGACGUCGACGGAAACCGUGUGGCUAGAGUCCGGAAGAGGAGAGUGGAAUUCCUGGUGUAGCGGUGAAAUGCGCAGAUAUCAGGAAGAACACCAAUGGCGAAAGGCAGCUCUCUGGGACGAUACUGACGCUGAGACGCGAAAGCGUGGGGAGCGAACAGGAUUAGAUACCCUGGUAGUCCACGCCGUAAACGAUGGGUGCUAGGUGUGGGAGGUGUCGACUCCUUCCGUGCCGUAGCUAACG
rnacentral:rRNA from 1 species